GGCAAAUCCGCAACUUCUCUCAGAGCUUCCCUCCAUGUCUCUACCUUUGCAAGCCUCUCUUGUUUUCUGUCAUCGGUCUCUGCCUCAAAUCCCAUCUUGUGUUUUUCAAAUGCUUCUGCAAAGCUCCCUGUUUGGUUCUUGACAUGGGAUGGAGCCAUGUGGUAGAAUACAGGAAGUAUUAUAUGAUUGACAGUUCUCUUGCGUUCAAGUAUCUUCA
rnacentral:misc_RNA from 1 species